rnacentral:rRNA from 1 species
UACGGGGGGGAGCAAGCGUUGUUCGGAUUUACUGGGCGUAAAGGGCGCGUAGGCGGCGCAACAAGUCACUUGUGAAAUCUCCGGGCUUAACUCGGAAAGGUCAACUGAUACUGUGCGGCUAGAGUGCAGAAGGGGCAACUGGAAUUCUUGGUGUAGCGGUGAAAUGCGUAGAUAUCAAGAGGAACACCUGCGGCGAAGGCGGGUGCUGGGCUGACACUGACGCUGAGGAGCGAAAGCGUGGGGAGCAAACAGG